UUUUUUUUUUUUUUUUACAUUUUUUAUUAAAGUAGAGUUGAUUUAUUGUAUUAUUUUAUUUUAUUAUUUUAUUAAAGUGUAGUUGAUUUAUAAUGAUGUGCCAGUUUCUGCUAUAGAGCAAGGUGACCCAGUCAUAUAUAUAUAUAUAUAUAUACACACACAUUCCUUUUCUUAUAUUAUCUUCCGUCACAGCCACGUUCAUUCUUUUGACUGGUAGCAUGGAAUAAAACUGUGGGGGCAUGUACUUCAAAUUCUUUUUUGUGCACCUGUAUGUCUAUUCAGACUAAAUAUGCUUCAGAAGUAAUUAUGGUCUCGUAGGCUUGGAUUUUGGUAAGUUAGUCCCUUAAAGCAGGUUGAGUUAGAGCAGGUUGUAAAUUUUAGAGGGGAGCUUCAGGGCGUAAGAAAAGAAAAUGCCUCCUUUCUGAUUGAGAAUAUCAGAAUUCAGUGUGAAUUACAAAGAUGCACACUCUGAUGCCGAGAGAGACUCUAACCUUCAGGCUUUGGGGGCAUCUGCCAAGUGCAUGAAAGAGAAAAGUUGAGUUCUAAAAAGACACGGGGAAUAAAAGCUUCUGAAGAAGCAUAGAGGAAAAGAGACACAGAGGCAACAAUAGGUGAUUCUUAAUGAAAGGGGCCAGAGGGACCCAGAAUGGCCACAAAAGGUGUGAAACCCCACAGAAUUUCAGCCCCAGCAUAGGCCAGCUAAAGAUCAAGAAGAAAGCUCCCUGUCUGUGCCUUGAUGUUCUCAUUUCUCUAUGGCUGGCCUAGGAAGGUGUCUUUUUCAAGGCCACGUCCCUUCAUGUUCAUCACUAGCCUGUUCAUGAAUGUUCUUUUUUUCUUAACCUUUUGGCAAACCUCUCCUAAAACUCCCCUCCCAAGAAGGGAGGUUUAAAUGACAGGGUUACUGGAGCUCCCUGGUGCUUGAAUGUUAAAGAUCCAGUGUUGUCACUGCUGGGGUGUGGGCUCCAUCUCUGGCCUGGGGAGUUCCUUAUGCCACGGGUGUGGUGGACAAAAAAAAAAAAAAAAAUGACAGGGCUAUUUCCAAAAUUUGGAUGAGCACAGGAAGGGCAAAAGGAAAAGCAAAGCCACCUGCGCUCGUAUUUUAAAGACCCCAUUCCCUUUCCCCUAUAAUUAUGCCGUCAGUGUUACCAGAGGUGGAGUUAGCGCUGUCUGUCAUCGACGGGCGCACGUGGGGUAUCCCGCUGCGAAAACUCGCCACGCCCCUACUACCUGGGAAGAUGCAUUGAUGACAAGCACCAAAACGAAGACAAAAAUCUCGGAAAACCCUUGUGAUCCAAACUAUUUGAUUCUAGAGGGGGACAUGCUAAGGGAGGUAAGCGGAUCCUUUCUAGAAUGUCCGAAGAGGUGACCCAUCAUGUUCUAAAUCUGGGGUGGACCCAGCUGUCCUCAUAUCUAACAGGCCUCCAAUAGUAUCACUGCUAUGGGCAUGGGCUCCUGGCGGCCCCCACAUCAGCAUCUACACAGCUUCAAUCUCUCGGCAGGUAAGCACAAACGGUGCUCCUUUAAGCCAGUAGGAGCUUCUUGCACCUUUUCCAAAUGCCUCAGGGUGUGGCGAAUGUAUACUCGCUACCGCAUAGACCAGUCCUUUUGUGGGCCCAUGGAAGUGGAAUGAGAAAGCUGCCCUGAAGACGGCUGGCACUAUAGAAGGAAGAGGAGGGAAGUGAAAACUGGCCAUUCAGAUGUGUCUGCCGUCAGAGUGCAGACUUGGAGUCAGGGAGUCUGGGGGAACUUAGCUCCGCUUCCUGUGAGCCACUCUCUGAGACGUAGGACUCUCAGGUGGGCGAGGGUGGUGAUACACCUACUCGUGACGCUUUGAAAAGCAGAAAUAACAGGGACGGACGUGUUCAGUGACCUGUAAAGCCAUGUGCACAUCUGAGCUGCUCUGGAGGGUUUGGGAGAUGAGCAGGAACCGUUGAGGGUUAUAUGGACAAAGCCCCAGGACCGCUGGUCUGAGCACGGAGCAUUUCAAGGAAGCAGGCGCACGGACGCAGGGUUAAAAGUGGGGAAACUUGGUAUCACCUUUGGUGACCUUGGAGAGAAUGGGUUCUGCUGAGAGACAGGGUCAGAAGCUAGAUUUUAGGAGAUGAAGGAGAAAGUGGGUGGUAAGGAAAUGGGGGCUCAGGGCUGCCGACCACUUAAUUAAGAAAUCUGCAGUCAAAGGAAGCAAGAAAUGGGACAGUAGCUUGAGGGGGCAGCUUAAAUUCUUACCACACCCCUGGAUAUAGACAUUUUACUGGGGAUCAACGCCUCAUCAAAAGAGCUUAAGUGCUGUUGGUGAAAUUUCAGUCAGCCAGAAGGUGGGGAGCCUCCUCCUUGACACUUGGGGCGUAUUCUGAAAUCCCAGACAUCACACCGCGAAUAGGCACUUGCCUGUUCUGCCAGCACGUGAGGCUGGCCCCACAGAACCGCAGAAUUUGGAGCUCUUCCAACCUCCCCUCUUGCACCUUCAUAUCUUUGUGCCAUUUCAACAGCACUUCCAGAUGCCAUGAUUAGCUUGAAAUGAUGACGAUAUGACGUGGACCCUGCAGGGAUGGGAACAGAAGCCUACUUGUCUAAAAGUUUCACUUGGCUUACUUUCAGCCUUCCAAAAUACCAAACUGUAUUAGGAAGCUAGGGGAAACCAAUCUUUUUGAGUUGUAAAUAGCUGUCGCAAUGUCCCUAAAUGUUAAUUCACAGAAAAGGGGGUGGCACCUGCCUUAGACCUCUGCAACUGAAGCUUUUAUGUCAAAUAGGCAGCCAGGUUCCCCAUCACCGUGGGUCCAUCCCGCCGAGCAUCAGUUCACCACGGCAUCAUCACCCCCUCAUGUCCCCCACGUACUCACACCAGCCCCUUCCCGUCUCUGCACCUGCGUGUCUGCUGCUCUCCAGGUAACGGCCUCUUCACCCCACCCCUGCCGCCGGCCCCAACCCUGGUUUUCUCCGUCUAAGGGGUUUGGUUCAGUUCGCAGUGACUCGUAAAGGCUGUGUUGCCCACUCCCCCCACGUAUCCUCCCAAACCCUGCAGAUGGACCACCUGUACCAGAGAGUCAGCCCUGACUUAUACAGAGUCAUAUCUGAUGUCUCAAUUGUUCCCUGCCUGGUGGCCCUACUCUUAGGUGCCACUUCUUACCAUUUUUCAUGCCCUCAAUUCCUAGCUUGUGUGCCUGUGUAGGUGCAUUUCUGAAUGUUGAUUUGUUGAUGGCGCACCACACAGGUGUAAAGUUACAGCCACAGGGCCUCCAGGUGCCGAAUUGAUGACGAUGUGCUCAACAUCUCCUGCAGACGUCGCAUUUGGUGACAGCUCCUCGUGGCGCGAGGAUUAAUGUGAGAUGUGGCAGGAGGAUGGUGGCUCGGAAGAGGAAGACAGGAUGGCCGAUGAUGAGGGAGUGUGUCGCUUGUCACCCUGACCUAUCAGGGCACCUGGUUUGAGUUAGGAAGGCUGGAAUUGCCAGAUGGAUCAAUGCUCCCUCCAUUUGUUGCCUUUCAUGCCAGAGAUAUUACCUAUUGAUUUCUGCUGUGCAAAAAUCUAAAAGGAUCUGCUUUGCGGAGUCGAACACAGAAAUGCUGGGUCUCUCCAGCCGACCUGACAGCCCCUGCUUUGCGGAGUCGAACACAGAAAUGCUGGGUCUCCCCAGCCGACCUGACAGCCCCCAUGUCGUUCUUUUUCUCUCCCACCGCUCCACUGCCCCCGCCCCAAACGCCCUGGAGGAAGAAUGAAGAUCAAGGCUUCAUGUCAUGUUUCCAAGUUUUCUACGUGUUUUACAAGGUGCAGCUUUAGUUAUUCCCGAAAACAUGCCCAUUACGAGGUGAGGCGAUGCUAUUAAACUCAUUCUACUUUAUGGCUCUGGAAGCAGAGGCACAGAAAGGUUAAGUGGCUUGGCAAGGUUGCCCAGCAAUUUGAUGACGAGCGUGAGUUUUAACUCCUGCCUGGCGAGAUCUCAUAGAGAAGGUUCAAGCAUCAGAGAAUUUUCAGUGUCUGUGCUUGGGGACAUUUAGAAUAACUCAAGGAGGUGGCACCGUGCAACUGGCAAUCGGGUGUGAAUCAUUAUUGUUUAAAUCUUGAACGGAGGAAGUGGGUGGCAUCAUGCAGACAGAGAGUUUUAAGUCGAGAUUUGAAAGAGGGGAGGCUGUGGGUGGCUGGGCACCCGGCCGGCUCUCAAUAAAUGUUGGGACAUUGCAGCCAAGGGCUUCGGCAGGGAGGUUUGGCAGGCCGGUUCUCCCGCGGCUCCCCAACAAGGAGCCGUGCCUGAGUCGACGAGGCUGUGCAAUGCACUGGUUUAGACGUGUUAGUAUUCUAGCCCCAUCUCCUCCUUUAUGGCUCUUCAUGACUCUAUCUGAUGACAGAGCAGCUCCUCGCCAUUUAAAGGUCAAAUGCCAGUAAUAGAAAGAUGGCGUUUUAUCAUCAGAAGCCUGCAAGCUGAAGGGAGAGGAGAGCUGGAAGGACUGAACCAAGAACAAUGAUGCCCCCUGGUUGAGAUGCCAUGAAAGUGGACCGAACCUUCAAUUAACCCUUCCCAAACACCUGGUCCCUGGGACCAGUUUAUCUGGCUGUGAGCUGGGUUUGGAGCCUGUUUCUCUCCCUCGGAGAUGGAGGGAGCUUCUGGUCUAAUUCUUGGCUCAUCCUGCAAAUGAGAAAUGCCUCCAAACCCCCCAGGGAAUCAGGAUCCCACUGAGAUUCCUGAACACAGAGGCUGUCAGGGGCCCGGGGAGGCAGGAGCAUCAACUGACAGAGACAGUUCUGGUCUAUUUCCCGAAGAUUUUUAAGGAUUAGUCUCCUG
ensembl:lncRNA